CUCCGCAGCGCAAGAUUUACUCGACGAUCGUAGUUUUUAUGAAGGGAAAUUCUAUUUGAUUCAAUAUCUUAUGUAUUUGUUAACGUCGAAUCUCUAUUGUAGAUGUCGUAUGACUUUUAAUUAAUGACAUAUUUUUUCUAUUAAAAAAAACUAAUAACCUAUAUAAAAGACCCAAGCACCCUUACUAUUCCUAUGAACAAAAAAUUGACGCUACUGCCCUCCCCUGCCCUUAGCACCCUUCCCAGAUUGAAAGGGGUAGUUUGGUCUAUUCGGGUUGCCCAUUUUCUCUCCUGCUUUUGCUCCUCUCAUCCUCAGUUCCUCACUCUUCUCCUAAGAAUCCUCAAAUUUCUCUCUCUCUCUCUCUCCUCCAUUGAAGCUCACUCUGAGUUCUCCAUUAAAGCGCACUCUAAGUUCUCCAUUGAAGCCUAAUUUGAGUUUUCUUUCCUCCAUUGAAUCAGUUUCUGAGAAAUCGAGCUUUCUUUAACUUGAAUUUUCCGCGAAGUCUGCUAAUGUUUCCGGCGAAGGAAAGGAUGCUUGGGUUUUCGAUGGUGUUGAACACUUCUCUUUAAUUUACGUUAUUAUGAGCAUGGAUAUGGGUGAGAUUUUCUGUAUUUUUUGCAAUUAAAUUGAUUGUUUGUUUUAUUUUAGUUUAAUUAAUUGGAAUUUGGUAUAAUUUGAUUUCAUGAUUAUCGUUGUUAUAUUGUCAUUAAUUUCUUUAAUCAAGUUGUCAAGGGUCAACUCAGGAAUUAAUCUCUCUAAAUUGAUUAGUUAUAAUUUAGUCAUUGGUCUUAGUGAUUGGGAAAUAUUUGUAUUAGCUUCAUAUCUCUGCUUAUUGUUUCUUGGGGAAGAUAGAGCAAAUGGAGAUGGAGCUCGAACAAAGUAGGAAGGAAGUUCAAAAGUACCAUGACAUGUAUGUUUUUGAGCAAGAAGAGAAAUUGGGUUUAGAUGUUGAGCUCCAAGAUUGCAAGGUAUCUUAUCACUGUCCUGAAAAGCUUCGAGGAAAGGAAAUGAAUCUCAGCCGCGUCGGAACAGCAGCAGCUACCCAGCAAUGAGCACCCCUUGCCAGGUGCCAGUGGGCCACAUGUCAUCAGAUGAGCUGUGCUAUGGUGAUGGAUCAUCUAGGGCCAAGCGUACCGUUAUUGCAUGUUAUUGUUGGUGAGGAUGAAGCUUCUGAAGAUUCAAUUGUUCGGAAAUUUCGUUGUAACACCUCUUGUCAAAGUUGAGGAUUCAAGGACUCUGGAUGUAGCAUAUGAUAUGGACCUGAGUUUCUUGGCAGGACCAGCUAAUCGAGGUAUGUUUGGAUUUUCAUUGAUAUGCUGAUGCGUACAUCAUUUUGGUGAGAGGGCUGCCCAGUUUAUCUCUUUGAUUGCUGGAGUUUGUUAAUCUUGAGAGACAAGUCAGCAUUUGAGCUUAGUCAGGUCAGGACAAGUACACGAUGGCAAACGGAAAUGGCCACAUUGGAAAGCCACAUGUUAACGUCCCCAAAUAACGUCAAGUAGACGACAUUAAGUUUCAGGAAUCAGAAAUUUUAAUUUGUAGCAGCAAAUUUAUUGAAGGUAGUUGGUGGUUUACGUCCUUCAAAUUGUAGCCUGUGUGCUUCAUUUUUUUUACCAUCAAGUCGGAAGGUAGAGGGAGUUGAUUCUCGUAUUUGAUUCUGAUGAAUUAACGAAUCUGCUUGGGAACUCUUAACACAUUUGAAGGUGUGUUUAAGGUUAGUGGUGUGUGUUUAAUUAAAACUCUUGUAGCAAACUAUCGAUCACGUGCAAAUUUUAUAAUAGUGUAUGAUAUAAAUUUUUGGUUUAUGGUAUCAAACAUUAGCGAUUGAUGUUGAACAUAUAUUGCCUUUACUACUUACCAUGGUGUUAAAUUCUCCUUAAAAUUUGUUGAUAUGGUAUCAUUUGUAUUGAGUGUAA